rnacentral:rRNA from 1 species
UACGGAGGGUGCGAGCGUUGUCCGGAAUCACUGGGCGUAAAGGGCGCGUAGGCGGCUUGAUAAGUAGGGGGUGAAAUCCUGCGGCUUAACCGCAGGGCUGCCUUCUAAACUGUCGGGCUAGAGCACGGUAGAGGCAGAUGGAAUUCCCGGUGUAGCGGUGGAAUGCGUAGAUAUCUGGAGGAACACCGGUGGCGAAGGCGGCAUUCUGGACCGAUAUUGACGCUGAGGAGCGAAAGCGUGGGGAGCGAACAGG